AGUGGGAUAGUUGAGUCAUAUGGUGUUCCCAUUCCUGGUUUUUAAAGGAAUCUCCAUACUGUUUUAUAUAGUUGUUAUACUAAUUUGCAGUCUCACCAACAAU
rnacentral:pre_miRNA from 1 species